GACGAACGCUGGCGGCGCGCCUAACACAUGCAAGUCGAACGAGAGAUGAGGAGCUUGCUCUUCAAAUCGAGUGGCGAACGGGUGAGUAACGCGUGAGGAACCUGCCUCAAAGAGGGGGACAACAGUUGGAAACGACUGCUAAUACCGCAUAAGCCCACGGGCUCGGCAUCGAGCAGAGGGAAAAGGAGCAAUCCGCUUUGAGAUGGCCUCGCGUCCGAUUAGCUAGUUGGUGAGGUAAUGGCCCACCAAGGCGACGAUCGGUAGCCGGACUGAGAGGUUGAACGGCCACAUUGGGACUGAGACACGGGCCCCAGACUCCUACGGGACGGCAGCAGUGGGGAAUAUUGCACAAUGGGGGGAAACCCCUGAUGCAGCGACGCCGCGUGGAGGAAGAAGGUCUUCGGGAUUGG
rnacentral:rRNA from 1 species